CCUACGGGAGGCAGCAGUGAGGAAUAUUGGUCAAUGGGCGCGAGCCUGAACCAGCCAAGUCGCGUGAGGGAGGACGGCCCUACGGGUUGUAAACCUCUUUUGCCGGGGAGCAACGGGCGCCACGUGUGGCGUCACUGAGAGUACCCGGAGAAAAAGCAUCGGCUAACUCCGUGCCAGCAGCCGCUGUAAUACGGAGGAUGCGAGCGUUAUCCGGAUUUAUUGGGUUUAAAGGGUGCGUAGGCGGAUCGUUAAGUCAGUGGUCAAAUUGAGGGGCUCAACCCCUUCCCGCCAUUGAAACUGGCGUUCUUGAGUGGAAGAGAAGUAUGCGGAAUGCGUGGUGUAGCGGUGAAAUGCAUAGAUAUCACGCAGAACUCCGAUUGCGAAGGCAGCAUACCGGCGCCCGACUGACGCUGAGGCACGAAAGCGUGGGGAUCGAACAGGAUUAGAUACCCGGGUAGUC
rnacentral:rRNA from 1 species